rnacentral:rRNA from 1 species
UACGUAGGGUGCGAGCGUUAAUCGGAAUUACUGGGCGUAAAGCGUGCGCAGGCGGUUCUGUAAGUCAGAUGUGAAAUCCCCGGGCUCAACCUGGGAACUGCGUUUGAAACUACAGGGCUAGAGUAUGGGAGAGGGAGGUAGAAUUCCACGUGUAGCAGUGAAAUGCGUAGAGAUGUGGAGGAAUACCGAUGGCGAAGGCAGCCUCCUGGGCCAACACUGACGCUCAUGCACGAAAGCGUGGGGAGCAAACAGG